UACGUAGGGUGCAAGCGUUGUCCGGAUUUACUGGGUUUAAAGGGUGCGCAGGCGGCUUCUUAAGUUGGAGUUCAAAGACGGCGGCCUAACCGCCGGGAGGGCUUCGAUACUGGGGAGCUUGAGAUACUUUGGGGCAAGCGGAAUUUGUGGUGUAGCGGUGAAAUGCUCAGAUACCACAAGGAACACCGAUCGCGAAGGCAGCUUGCCAAGAGUUAUCUGACGCUGAGGCACGAAAGCGCGGGGAGCAAACAGG
rnacentral:rRNA from 1 species